rnacentral:rRNA from 1 species
CCCAGACUCCUACGGGAGGCAGCAGUGGGGGAUAUUGCACAAUGGGGGGAACCCUGAUGCAGCGACGCCGCGUGGGUGAAGGAGCGUUUCGGCGCGUAAAGCCCUAUCGGCAGGGAAGAAGGAGGACGGUACCUGACUAAGAAGCCCCGGCUAACUACGUGCCAGCAGCCGCGGUAAUACGUAGGGGGCAAGCGUUAUCCGGAUUUACUGGGUGUAAAGGGGGCGCAGACGGCAGCGCAAGCCAGGAGUGAAAGCCCGGGGCCCAACCCCGGGACUGCUCUUGGAACUGCGCGGCUGGAGUGCAGGAGGGGCAGGCGGAAUUCCUGGUGUAGCGGUGAAAUGCGUAGAUAUCAGGAGGAACACCGGUGGCGAAGGCGGCCUGCUGGACUGCGACUGACGUUGAGGCCCGAAAGCGUGGGGAGCAAACAGGAUUAGAUACCCGUGUAAA